rnacentral:rRNA from 1 species
GACGAACGCUGGCGGCGUGCCUAAUACAUGCAAGUAGAACGCUGAAGGAGGAGCUUGCUUCUCUGGAUGAGUUGCGAACGGGUGAGUAACGCGUAGGUAACCUGCCUGGUAGCGGGGGAUAACUAUUGGAAACGAUAGCUAAUACCGCAUCAGAUUGACUCUUGCAUGAUAGUCAGUUAAAAGGUGCAAUUGCAUCACUACCAGAUGGACCUGCGUUGUAUUCGCUAGUUGGUGGGGUAACGGCUCACCAAGGCGACGAUACAUAGCCGACCUGAGAGGGGGGUCGGCCACACUGGGACUGAGACACGGCCCAGACUCCUACGGGAGGCAGCAGGAGGGAAUCUUCGGCAAUGGACGGAAGUCUGACCCAGGAACGCCGCGUGAGUGAAGAAGGUCUUCGGAUCGUAAAGCUCUGUUGUAAGAGAAGAACGAGUGUGAGAGUGGAAAGUUCACACUGUGACGGUAUCUAACCAGAAAGGGACGGCUAACUACGUG